CCGAACUGUCAACACGAGUUGUUGCUGGUCCCCAAACUGGGGGCAUGUGCACGCUCUGUUUGCACAUCCACCCACACCUGUGCACCCUCUGUAGUUCUAUGGCCUGGGUGACUUUGUCCCCUUGCUGUGGUUCUACGUAUUUACACACACACUGCCAUAAAGUCUCAUGGAAUGUUUAUCGCGUUUAACGCAAUAUAAUA
rnacentral:misc_RNA from 1 species